rnacentral:rRNA from 1 species
CCUACGGGGGGCAGCAGUGGGGAAUAUUGCACAAUGGGGGAAACCCUGAUGCAGCGACGCCGCGUGAGUGAAGAAGUAAUUCGUUAUGUAAAGCUCUAUCAGCAGGGAAGAAAAUGACGGUGCCUGUGUAAGAAGCCCCGGCUAACUACGUGCCAGCAGCCGCGGUAAUACGUAGGGGGCACGCGUUAUCCGGAUUUACUGGGCGUAAAGGGAGCGGAGACGGCAGUGCAAGUCUGGAGUGAAAGGCGGGGGCUCAACCCCCGGACUGCUCUGGAAACUGUACGGCUGGAGUGCAGGAGAGGUAAGUAGAAUGCCAAGUGUAGCGGUGAAAUGCGUAGAUAUUAGGAGGAACACCAGUGGCGAAGGCGGCUUACUGGACUGUAACUGACGUUGAGGCUCGAAAGCGUGGGGAGCAAACAGGAUUAGAUACCCGGGUAGUC